rnacentral:lncRNA from 13 species
AUGAGCUCCUCUGAGCCCUCAGGCAAGUCUGAACUGUAUAAAAGGUGUCUCCACUUGGGGUUCUCCCAACAUCUUCCCUUCACUCGUUCUUCUCAACGGCUUGAUCAACCUCCAAUCCCUGCAAAAUGUCCUGCUAUGACCUGUGCUCCACCUCUGGCUCCGGCCUCAUCCGGCCCCAGCCCAUCGCCGACAGCGGGAAUGAGCCGUGUGUGCGCCAGUGCCCCGACUCCACCACCGUCAUCCAGCCUCCCGCCGUGGUGGUCACCUUCCCCGGCCCCAUCCUCAGCUCCUUCCCGCAGGAUUCCGUGGUGGGAUCUGCUGGAGCGCCCGUCCUUGGAGCCUCUGGGGGCUCCCUGGGCUAUGGGGGUUAUGGAUCCCUGGGUUACGGGGGCUAUGGAUCCCUGGGCUACGGGGGCUAUGGAUCCCUGGGCUAUGGGGGCUAUGGAUCCCUGGGCUAUGGGGGCUAUGGCUCUGGGGGUUAUGGUGGUCUCUGUGGAUACGGGGGUUACGGAUCCCUGGGCUAUGGGGGUCUGUGGGGCUAUGGGGGCUCCUCCCUGGGCUAUGGGGGUCUGGGGUCCUGUGGGGGUUACCGGGGCCUGUAUGGCUCUGGGAGAUCCUUUGGAUCCUUUGGCUCCUGGAGCCCUUGGUCCUCCCGCUACGGCCGCUACGGCCGCGGCAGCUGCGGCUCCUGCUAAACCUGAUGGAAAAAUUCCUCAACUCAGUAAACGACACCACUGGAUCCUCACCUGAGCUCCUGAGGAAGGGGCACAGCGUCAGACUUCACUUCACACUGUGGAGUCAGAACCCCUCCAGAAAUCCCUCUUCUCCCUUCCUCCUUCCUUUGCUUGAUCUCCUCUUCCCCACUCCUGCCAGUGGCCAAAUGUGGGGCUCCACCAUCCACUGGCUUCUCCCUUGAACUGCUGCCUCCUGGGACAAGGCUGAGGGAGCAGCUCUCGUGAUGCAGGGAGGGACAACCUGCCUGUCUUUGCCUCACAUGUUCUUGUCCAGCGGAGCCUUCCCUGCCUUUGCAAUAAAAAAAUCCAGCAUCCAACACCUGCCUUUGUUUUUCCUGUUAAGCCCCAGAGCGGGGUUCAGGGCUCCCUCUCAUCCCCAUCAGAACCAGGCUGAGAGGCCUUUGGUCAGACCUGCACCUGAGAAUCCUCUCUGCCUUAGACUAAUUAUUCCAGUUGUCAGACUUCCAGUAGUUAUUCCAAUUAUUUCCAUCCAGUUUGGAACUGGAAUAGGGAAUAGUCACAGCCCCAAGGUUGCCAGAUCUCAAGGACAACGCUCUCAGGCACCGGGUGGGUUUUUUGGGGUGCCUGUGCAGGGCCAGGAGUUGGACUCAAUCCCUGUGGGGCCCUUCCAACUUAGGAUAUUCCAUGAUUCUACCUUUAAGUGGUUAAUUCAGUGCUGGAAUUCCUUUUAAUUUUACGUCUUCCAGGAGAUGUCUUAGAAAUCACCCAACUGCCUUCAAAGACAAAGCUAAAAAAUACUGCCUGAAGUUCUGCCAAAGCGUCUUCUGAAAAGGAAUGAUAGGAGGAAGGUGAACAAAGGGAAACAAUUUUUGAGAUAGGUAUCUGAUGAGCAAAGAUGAGGCAUUACCUUCUCUUUUUUCGUUAAUCAUUGCCAUGAUAAAGUUGCCUCAGGGAAGGUUUGCUUGAACCUGUCAGCAGGUGAGGUAAAAAGAACAUGAACUGAUGCAUUAGAGAGGAUUUACCUCUUCCUUCACUGGGACUCUUUCAAAGAAAAUAUCUUGAGUGUCAAAGAACAGCAAAUCUUAUUUUUCACAGGUAAUUUCAAUAUUCUUCCUCAUAUGGGACUGGAUCUGUCAGAGGGCUGUAAGUAAUAAAUUCAAGUGGAAAUUAGUCCAUGGUACCCAUGAAUGCUGGUUUUAUUUUAAGAAAACAAGGUUUUGUUUUUAUGGGUAAACAAACACUUAUUGAGAAU